rnacentral:rRNA from 1 species
AACGAACGCUGGCGGCGUGGAUAAGACAUGCAAGUCGAACGCUCGUUUCAGGGUAGCAAUAUUCUGAGGCGGGAGUGGCGCAAGGGUGCGUAACACGUGGGUCAUUUGCCGCGAAGCUGGGAAUAACUCGUUGAAAGACGAGCUAAUACCCAAUGUGCUCCGCAAGGAGUAAAGCCGGGGACCGCAAGGCCUGGCACUUCGCGAUAAGCCCGCGGCCUAUCAGCUAGUUGGCGGGGUAAAAGCCCACCAAGGCUAAGACGGGUAGCUGGUCUGAGAGGACGACCAGCCACACUGGAACUGAGACACGGUCCAGACACCUACGGGUGGCAGCAGUCGAGAAUUUUUCACAAUGGGCGAAAGCCUGAUGGAGCGACGCCGCGUGGGGGACGAAGGGCUUCGGCUCGUAAACCCCUGUCAUUUGCGAACAAAGGCGCCGACCUAACACGUCGUCGUCUGAUAGUAGCAGAAGAGGAAGGGACGGCUAACUCUGUGCCAGCAGCCGCGGUAAU